UAGCAGAAUAUGUUAGGAGAGGUGAUUUAAAGGAAUUUUUUUUAGUCAUAGUCACCUUUUCCAAUGUAUGUACUUCAAAACUAUGUAACUGAUACUUAUUCCAUUAAGCAAUACAGGGAGGAAACAUUGGAUGAAGAAAUAAUUUCCCUUUUGAAGAAUAAACCAAUCAAAAGAACGUUGCACAAUAAUGUUGAUAAUAACAUUGAAAUCACUUGGGAUAAUAAAUUUAAAGUGCUAUAAAUGUAAGGUAGUAUGGUUAUGCAAUAAGAAAAUAGAAAUGAGACAAACAGUAGUGUAUUUCUGUAAGGAAUUUUCAAAAGACAUUUUAAAAACAGAAUCAUAGUUAAUCGAUCUAAGGAAAUAGUAUAACUGACAUUUCAGCACCUACAAAACCUGUCCUGCUCUGUUUUAGCUUCUGUCAGAGUGUCCUUGAGACUAAAUGAAAAUUCCAUCCCCUCUUCUAAAUGUCUAUAUAUUUGUUUAGAGAGGAGUCAGGAGGCUAGCUGAACAUUAAGAACUGAAUUGACCUCAAAGAGAAGAUGAAUCAUGACAGAAAUAUAUUGACUGGGGAAAUUUAAGCAGCUGCUGCUCAGACAUUGAAAACAGCAGGCCUUUAUCUGUUUUCGUUCGGGAAAUGGUUUCUCAAACAUAGGCUGACAGAACUGGGAAAGCUGAACUCUUGCUGGAUGUUCUCUCUUUUCUUCUUAUGCAACCAGAACUCUCUCAUGGGCAUAAACUACUUUCUUUCUUGAUUGAUGACCUCCAGUCAUGACAAGGACUUGAGGAUGAUACAGUUGUGGUGCCUGUCGGCCCUCCGAUUGCCAGGGUUGAUGUGACUGAUCUGGCUGGCAUGUCCUCUUCUUCACUCCUCACAUCCUGAGGAAUCCUGAAGUUCUGAGAGGAUGACUUCCACAAGUAGAGAAGGAUUAUUCUUCAAAGAAGGCAAGCUAUCACAGCUCUCACCUGCACGGAACUUUGUAUUGGUUGAACCAUCACUGACUAGUUUAAGCAGAAAAUAGUGAUUAUUAUGAAGGUAUUGGGAAUAUUGUUAGAGGAAAAUAUAAAAGAAUAUUUUCACGUCUUUGGGAAUGGUGAGGAAAGAUUUCUUAUACAAGAUGAAAAGCACAAACUAUGCAAGACAAUUGAUAAGUCUGACUAUAGUAAAAUGUAAUUAAAACGCUUUUCUCUUCUUGACCUUUGAGCUAUUGUCAUACAUUUUACUUCUUCUUUACUUACUACUGCUCUAAAUCACACACUACAUUGUUUGUUUAAAAAGUCAAUUAUCUUCUAUAGAAAUAAAUAAAAAGAAAAAAGUAGUAUUUAUUUACAUGCAUAUUACCAUUUUUGGUGCUCUGCAUUCCUUUGCUUAGAGAUCUGCUAUCAUUUUCUUUGUGCCAAAAGGACUUCUUUUAACAUUUCUUAUAGUGUGGAUCUGAUAAGAAAAAAUUCUCUCAGCUUUUGUAUGACUCAACAAAUCUUUGUUUCACCUUUUGUUUUGAAAUAUAUGUUCACUGGAUAUAGAAUUCUAGGUUGUCAGUUUUUUUCUUUCAGUCCCUUACGAAUGCUGCUCCAGUGUCUUGUCACUAGUAUUGUUUCCAAGAGAAAUCUGCUGUCAUCUUCAUCUUUGUUCCUCUGUAGAUAAAAUGUGUAUUUACUCUGGGUGCUUUCAAGAUAUUUUCUUUAUUGCUGAUUUUAAGAUAUGUAUUAUAUGCCUUGUUAUAGUUUUCUUCUUUGUUUCUUGUGCUUGGGGUUUAUUGAGCAUCUUGGAUCUGAGAGUUUAUAAUUUUCAUCAAAUUUGGGACAUUUUCAGCCAUUCGUUCUGCAAAUAUUUUUUCUUUACUCUCCUUGCUCUUUUUUCUCAUCCAGCAGCUCCAAUCACACAUAUGGUAGGUUGCUUGAAAUUGUUGCAUAGCUCACUGAUGAUCUGUUUAUUUGUUUUUUGUGUUUUUUUUAAUGAGGCUUUUAUUUCUAUUUCAUUUUGACUAGUUCCUAUUAUGUCUUCAAGUUCACUAAUCUUUUUGUCCACUAUGCUUAGUCAGCUAUGAAUUCCAUCAAGUACAUUUUUCAUCUUUUGUGUUAUAGUUUUCACCUCUAGAAUUUCAAUCAGGGCAAUUUUUAAUUGCUCAUAUGCUAAUUGAAACAUUUAUGUGUGGAUCAGUUUCAAUUUUUAAUUUUUCUUCUUAUUGAGGAUUUUUUUUUUUAUUUCUCUAUUGUGUGGCAAUUAUUUAAUUGGAUGAUAGAUAUUAUGAAUUUUGCUAGGUCCUAGAUACUUUUGUAUUCCUGUUGGAAAUACUUUGAUCAUUUCAGGCGUUGCUUUAAAAUUUUCAGGUAUGACCAUAACGAUAUUUAUUCCAGGGAUAAUUAAUCCCCGCUGCUGAGGUAAGAGUCUUCUGACUGACCAAUUUCCUUUGAGUGAUAAGAUUUUCCAGUCUGGCUGGUGGGAUAGGAGUGAGGAGAAACUGCUACAAGGAACAAUGCUACAUGAUUAGGAUUCCUGAACAAACAUUGCUGGUGCCUGGAUUAAGGGAUGUUUGAAAUUCAAAGAAGCCUUGAGAGUUAAAGAUAAAGAUCCUUGGAGCUAUUUAUAUAAUUCAUUUAGGGACCUUCACCCUUUAUCCCUCGAAGAGUAUUUGUUUAUAUUAAAAAGCAAAAGUCCCUCUCCCUCUCUGGAGGAGGGCGGGAGCAGGUGUGUAAGCUCUCUUGUACAAACCCCACAUACACACAGGUGAUUUCUGCCCCCACUGCAUUGCCCUUUGGGGGAUUGGAGCAUGAGAGACUGAUG
rnacentral:lncRNA from 1 species